GAGCUGAGAUCGUGCGGCUGCACUCCAGCCUGGGCAACAGAGUGAGACUCUGUCUAAAAAAAAAAGUGUGUUCUUUAAAGUAGAAUAUUUGCUUUUUACAAUAUAGUUCUCAGAAUGAUCCAGUUCCAUUUAUUCUAGAAUGUGGUGCAAACUCGACGAGAUUGGAAGAAGCUCUUUUUGUUGGGCAGUGUAGUAACAAGAAAAGAAAAGAAAAAUACCAUGGGUAUAUUAUUUAGGGAACUUUUGCUUUAUCCAAAAGUAGUCACGAUUGCUGUAGCACAGGCUGUGAAAAAUGAGAGAGUGCAAAUCUCUCUCAUUUAAAUGUCCAGGGUGGCUUUAGUCUCCCAAGUACAAAGGCCAGAUGGCAGAGAACAGCUUAAACUGAGCCUUUAGCCUCAUUAAUAGGAGGAAGUCUUGGUACUUUUGGUGACUAAGAAACUGGAUUAUUUAAAACCUUAAUUAUCUCCUUUACUCCUGGUUUACAGAAGGCAAUGAAUAUACAACUCCUUUAGAUCCCUCUAACUGCUGCUGAAUUUUCUUUCUUUCUAAGCCUGCAUCCUAUCUCUUGAUUGCAUUGUCUGAAGAAGCUGUGUGAAAUUUGUCUGGUCAUUGGUUUUCUUGUCUGAUAGUGGUAUCUUGACCUCUUCACAUGUCACACUAAAUGCUGCUCAUAACCCAUCCUCGUCAUCUUUACUCAUCACUGCUUUCUUCAAGGGAGGUCUUGAAACUGCCUAACCUACCUCAUGAUCUGCUAGUCAAAAUAGUGACUCUUUGGAAGACUGGUAGUCUCUGAAUGAAUUAUCCAACGUCUGCUUCCCCACAUUAACUGCAUUGUAUAGUUUUGGGAACUUUGCAGGUGCUAAAUCUUCAUGGCCAUGAAGAUGAAACACCUUGAGAAAUGGGAACACCUCUUCACUGUGUACUUGGAUCAGCCUUCUUCAACUACCAAGAAAUGCAUGAUUUCUCUGCCAACUCCAGGAAGUAGUAUAGCACGAUUGAAUCCUUCAGUGAAUCUCUUCAUCGUAACAUAGGGUGUAAAAGCUCACAUCUACUCAAAAAACUCAAAUCUACUUUUUCAGUGGAUACGAGCUUACAUUGACUUAUGAAUGAUUUUCUUGUAGGCCCAACUGUGUCACGACCCUCCAGUUGAAACAAAGCAUGAGUUAUUUUUAUAUUGAGUCCUUGAACUGCUAGCCAGGUAGAUGUCUCCUUAAAGUCCAGAGCAGGAUCCAAGUCAGAUGAAGGAGGUGGCACACCUGGCUUAACUGCAGAUCAGGGAGCAUUGAACCUCUACAAUUUGCUGCAUUGGAUUUGUGCUUGGGUUUCUCACUGAAUAGUAAAUUAGAGAAAAUGCUGCUUUUACUAUUUUGCAUUUUAUAUCAACAUUAGCAGCCUGUUCCCACUCGGGUGCUGUCCAAGGCACAUGUUUCCUUGGGAUGUUUGGACAGAACGAUCUGGCUUGAUGUAUUUCUUGGGUUCUGGUACCACAUCAUAGAGUUGGUUAAAUGUAGCCAGCAGCAGUGUCAAGACAGCUGACACUGUCUUCCAAGAGUGAAUGUGUUGGCCUUUGGAACUGCUGCUAACGCCAUGUGUGGGGCAGUGAGCACAUUUUUAGGUGGUGGCAAGGCUGUAUCUGAUUGACACAGAUCUGCAAUCCCUAACACCAUAUUGCUGUUGUCCUGAAUUUUCUAACUUGGAGAAAUUUAAGGAUCUCCUGCAUUAUCUAGGCAGAGCAUAUGUUGAGGUUGUUUUGCCAGUUGUUAUCAGUGUUGAAGAAGUGCUCCUGCAAGCAAACUGUGUUAAAAGGAUUGCGACCCCAUAUGCAUCUGAUGUACACUGUGUUUUGGUGUUUGUGUUUUUAGAGUUCUAGCCAGUACUGCGCCUGAACUUCGGAGAGAAAGGAGCCUGUGGCUGAGGUUUGUGCGUGCUCUAUUUCUGUGUAUCAAAUGGACUAUAAGGUUACUGAAACUGGGCUAAGUGAAAGGGCAUAGACAACUCUUUACACUGUAGACAGAUUUUAGAAAGCUAUGGGAAGGCAAAUGGAUGUUUCUGCCUAAAUUUGGCAACCUAGAGAGUGAUGCAGAGCAGAGUCACUGAGGUUGGCAUGCCUGUCUUCUGCAGGCCAAUGCAAGUUUUAGGAGAGUGGGCUGCUUAAAACAUGGCGCUUGUCCACAUGAAUUUGAUGGUUUAUGGGUGGAUUUCAAGCUUAGGGACAAGUUGUGGUUUUUAGAUGCAGUAACCCUAUGCCACCUUUUGGCCACUGUUAAAAGUUUCACUUGGAUCCCUGCCCAGCCAUAGCAAUGAAUGACCGAAUUGGAUCAGUUAGUGUAGAAAUUCAGACUGUCUGUUCCUCAGUUACUGGAUUGUUCUUUAGCCAUUUUUCUUGUCAUUUCAGUCAAACUGGUUAGGUUAGGUGACUUACUGAUUUCUAAAUUAACAAAAUUGAAUUUCCAAAUUGUUUCUGACAUGGUGAGAGUUGGGUUAGAAUUUUGGUUUCAUUCUCCAAGUCAUUUUUUCUUUUUCUUUAUUUUUACUUUUUGAGACAGAGUCUCACUCUGUCGUCCAGGCUGGAGUGGAGUGGCACAGUAUUGUCUCACUGCAGCCUCAACCUCCCAGACUCAGGUGAUUCUCCCACCUCAACCUCCAAAGUAACUGGGACUACAGUCAUGUGCUACCAUGCCUGGCUAAUUUUUUGUAUAUCUGUAGAGGGGGAGUUUCACCAUGUUGCUUGAGCUGGUCUUGAACUCCUGGGCUCAAGUGAUCUAUGCGCCUUAGCCUCUCAAAGUGCUGAGAUUAUAGGCGUGAGCCACCGUGCCCAGCCUCAUUUUUUCUUCCAAUAUGGAAAAUUGGCUAAUCCACCUAAUACCGCUCAUCCUCUUGUAUUCUAUCCUACCUUCUACCCUCAGAGUUAUUGAUGUACUCUUUCAUCAUGUGCUAUCAUGAUUUCUGCUUAGAUUAGAAAGUAAGCUUAAAAUGGGCAGGCCCAUGUCUUCAUAUUGUUCUGAAUUAACAGAUUUUGAUGGCCGCUGAUCAUGUGCAGAUAAUGGAAGCUCAUUUCCUUCCAUGAACCAGGAGCAUGCUUGCCUCUUCUUUUAAGUUGACCUGCACAGUCUCUGAUGUCUUCUUUUUGGAAAGGGUAAUCAGAUAAGGAUUAUGUAAGGACACUUUCUUCUGGUCUAGUGUUAGAUACAGUUACCUUGAUAAUAAUGAAAAAAAUGAAUAUCACCAAAACCUAACUAUGAUGUAAGAAUUCUGCUUCUGUCCCCCAGGGGCUCUGAAAGAGUCUAGCCUUAAUCUUCUUUCCCAGAGGAAGUUUGACUUAUGACCAUAUUAGUAUGCUUUAUUCCUCAGUGUUUAAGGGAGUUGGGGCUGACAGGUUAGCUGGCUAAUGUCAUUACAUUUUAGUUUUUGUGACAUUUAAUCUGUUAAGAAGGGGGCUUAUUGCAUAAUCAAAAAAAGAACAAUAAAAAAAUAAAAAUUUCUACUGUGAAACUAUUUUGAUCUGUAGCAGCUAGUCAUGUUAAAACACUUUCUGUUUUGCUUAAUUCGUAACUAGGCAUAAUUAAAGUUAAAUGCUAAAUUUUAGGUAGCAGCUGAUAAAUGCUUCUAAGCUUUCCUGACAGAAUACUCCUACUACUUUGGUGAAUCAUGGAAAAUUCUUUCUCCUUUAUUUUUAAUUAUUUCUUUUGCAUCUGUUAUUGAUGUCAUCAACACGGAAGUUGGAAAGGUGACAAUGAUUGUUCUAGACUGCCUCUGUAUGCUUUUUCUCCUCUGAAAAUUAAAAAUACAUACUUAUACCUUGAGCCAGGUGGAAUUGCCAAAACAUGUUUCCCUCCGUGUCUUCAGUCUAGGUGAUCAGUCUGUAGAGUGCUAUAACUUAUUAGGCUUAGAGCAGCGGCCGGCAUCCAUGCUAUGGAAAACCUGGAGUCAGUACAAAUAAGGAGUAAGAAGAGGCCAGGGAUUGGCAAAUCAAAGAAGAGUUCUGCUCUGCCAGAGAUUAGCCUCCCAGUUUUAAAUAUAUUUUUAAUAUCCCCAUUUUAACAUAUCCCAUUUUCACCUUCAACCUAUACUUCCCGAAGCCCAAACUUUUAAAGAAUUUACCUCUAGACCUGGCCUUCAGCCUAAUAUGAUUAGGGUGUUUUUCUGAGUGUCUGUCAAAUUAUGCUGGCUAAUUUCAAUGAGAAAAGAUUUUAAGAGUCAUAGUGAACCCAUCCAUAAAAGGACUAAAAGCUCUCUGGUCCCUGAGAUCCACAAGCCCUGAGAGAAGCCAGAACUACAAAUACAUCGUCUAGACUUUGAAGAAGCAGGAUGUGAUUCUUAAUAUAGCUCACCCACCGCUAAGUCAAGCCUAGACUCUAAUAUUUUUCUAUAACAGGAGAAGCCUCCCUGACUGGAGACUAGAAAGAGUCUCACAUCUUCUGCCACCACAUGAAUAGACUAAAAAGAAGGGAGAGUCCCAGAUGGGGCCAAGUGGUGACCUGUAGCUAUUUCAGCUCAGAAUGUCAGCCUCUAAAGCAUCAGCAUCUCCUGAUUGUUUCAAAACCAAGGCCGAGAACUGUCGCAGGCAAGAACUUGUGUGCCGAACUCUGAAGGAGCCACCACCCGCAGCACCAGUGACCACCCACUAUCUCCAGUGCCUUCUGCCUCAGAGAUUGGGAAUGAAUGGUGCCCAGGCUCUUCCCAGCUGAAGAAGUGGGAGGCAGAGUGCCCAGCUGGAGAGAUCAAACACCCGUCCCUUCAGUUCACAGCAGAGCCAGGGUUUACGACCAGACCCCUCCCUGCUGCAACCAACCCCAUCCCGCCCCCACUGUCGUGUUUACAGCGCCUUUUCAGCAGUCCCCAUCCCACUCCCCAAAGCUGCCAAAUGGGUUUAUUUUUACCUACUGGGUUGGAAAAGGGGCAAAGGCUGAGGCUGGGGCAGUUCUGUGGCGCCAGCUGAGGCUUAAAUACAAUGAGAAAGUCCCACCCUGCCAGCUCUGCCUGAAGAGAACCCAGUAGGAAAUAAAUAGCGCUGUGUGCCCUGCCUGGA